CGGAGGGUGCGAGCGUUGUCCGGAAUCACUGGGCGUAAAGGGCGCGUAGGUGGUGGAGUAAGCGUGUGGUGAAAGCUCGGGGCUCAACCCUGAGUCUGCCAUGCGAACUGCUCGACUUGAGCACUGUAGAGGCAGGUGGAAUUCCGGGUGUAGCGGUGGAAUGCGUAGAGAUCCGGAAGAACACCGGUGGCGAAGGCGGCCUGCUGGGCAGUGGCUGACACUGAGGCGCGACAGCGUGGGGAGCAAACAGGAUU
rnacentral:rRNA from 1 species